UUGGGGGUUUUUUGGGGGUUUGGUGCAGUGGAAAGGGUAUCUGCAAAAUGUUUUCUAGUUGUAGUUUCUGAUAGAUCCGCAAAUACAUUGCUCGAAUUAAUAAAAGAAUGGAUUUUACCUGGAUCAAUAAUAAUAUCUGAUUGUUGGAAAGCCUAUGAUAAGAUAGAGGAACAUAAUGACUAUAUUCACUUAAAGAUGAACCAUAGUUUGAAUUUUA